CAGCAGCCGCGGUAAUACAGAGGGUGCGAGCGUUAAUCGGAUUUACUGGGCGUAAAGCGUGCGUAGGCGGCUUCUUAAGUCGGAUGUGAAAUCCCUGAGCUUAACUUAGGAAUUGCAUUCGAUACUGGGAAGCUAGAGUAUGGGAGAGGAUGGUAGAAUUCCAGGUGUAGCGGUGAAAUGCGUAGAGAUCUGGAGGAAUACCGAUGGCGAAGGCAGCCAUCUGGCCUAAUACUGACGCUGAGGUACGAAAGCAUGGGGAGCAAACAGGAUUAGAUACCCCUGUAGUCCCUGUCUCUUACAC
rnacentral:rRNA from 1 species